GCCGCCUUAGCUCAGUAGGUUAGAGCGCUUGAUUGUGGAUCAAGAGGUCACCCGUUCGAGCCGGGUAGGCGGUACCA
rnacentral:tRNA from 4 species